rnacentral:rRNA from 1 species
AGCCGAUUGAUGGUAAAGCCGUGAAUAGCUCAUUAUAACAGCCAUCACUUACUGGAUCUUAUCUUCCUACUUGGAUAACUGUGGCAAUUCUAGAGCUAAUACAUGCAACAAAACUUCGCUUUGCGGAGUGCGUUUAUUAGGCCAAAACCAAUCGAGCUUCGGCUCGUUUUUGGUGAAUCUGAAUAACUUUGCCGAUCGAACGGUCUUUGUACCGUCGACAUAUCCUUCAGGUGUCUGCCUUAUCAACUUUCGAUGGUAGUGUAUUGGCCUACCAUGGUGAUAACGGGUAACGGAGAAUUAGGGUUCGACUCCGGAGAGGGAGCCUGAGAAACGGCUACCACAUCUAAGGAAGGCAGCAGGCACGCAAAUUACCCACUCCCGGCACGGGGAGGUAGUGACGAAAACUAACGAGACGGUUCUCUACGAGGCCCGUCAUCGGAAUGAAUACAACCUAAAUCCUUUAAUGAGGAUCAAUUGGAGGGCAAGUCUGGUGCCAGCAGCCGCGGUAAUUCCAGCUCCAAUAGCGUAUAUUAAAGCUGUUGCGGUUAAAAAGCUCGUAGUUGGAUCUGAGGCCCCGCGCAACGGUCGCCCAGUGGGUUGCUUACUGUCUGUGCAGGCCAAUUUCUCUAGCGCACUCCUGGUGCUCUUAACCGGGUGUCAGGCGUAGCUAGAACUUUUACUUUGAAAAAAUUAGAGUGCUCAAAGCAGACGUUUUGUCUGGAUAUUUCUGCAUGGAAUAAUGGAAUAGGACCUCGGGUCCACUUUGUUGGUUUUUGAAUCCGAGGUAAUGAUUAAGAGGGACAGACGGGGGCAUUCGUAUUGCGACGUUAGAGGUGAAAUUCUUGGAUCGUCGCAA